CAAAGGCAUGGUCCCAACCUUUCUAUCAGCCUUAACCUAACUUACACAUGCAAGUCUCCGCAGCCCUGUGAGUAUGCCCUCAAUCCCCUGACCCGGGGACAAGGAGCAGGCAUCAGGAACAAAUACUUUAGCCCAAGACGCCUAGCUAAGCCACACCCCCAAGGGAAUCCAGCAGUGAUAGACAUUAAGCCAUGGGUGAAAACCCGACUUAGUUAAGGUUAAGAGGGCCGGUAAAAUUCGUGCCAGCAACCGCGGUUAAACGAAUAGCCCUAGUUGAUAGUACUACGGCGUAAAGGGUGGUUAGGGGAAACAAAAAUAGAGUUAAAUGGCCCCUUGGCUGUCAUACGCUCCUGGGAGUCCGAAACCCAAAUACGAAAGUUACUUUAAAAAAAUUACCCGAUCCCACGAAAGCUGAGAAACAAACUGGGAUUAGAUACCCCACUAUGCUCAGCCGUAAACCAAGAUAUACACCUACAACAUAAUCCGCCCGGGUACUACGAGCAUUAGCUUAAAACCCAAAGGACCUGACGGUGCCUUAGACCCCCCUAGAGGAGCCUGUUCUAGAACCGAUAAUCCCCGUUAAACCUCACCAUUUCUGGUCAACCCAGCCUAUAUACCACCGUCGCCAGYUUACCCUGUGAAGGARYAAAAGUAAGCAAAAWGGGYAAYSCCCAAWACGUCAGGUCGAGGUGUAGCRMACGAARUGGGAAGAAAUGGGCUACAUUUUCUAWYAKCAGAAWAWUACGAAUACGCAGUAUGAAAAUUAAUGCUUGAAGGAGGAUUUAGUAGUAAAARGGAAAWAGAGWGUCCYUUUGAACCCGGCYCURAGGCRCGUACACACCGCCCGUCACUCCCAUCAAGUCAUAACUCAUWWGAUAUAGUUAACAGACAGAUGGGAAAAGUCGUAACAAGGUAAGUGUACCGGAAGGUGCACUUGGAUAAAUAUA
rnacentral:ncRNA from 1 species